AUUGAACGCUGGCGGCAGGCCUAACACAUGCAAGUCGAACGAGUGGCGGACGGGUGAGUAAUGUCUGGGAAACUGCCUGAUGGAGGGGGAUAACUACUGGAAACGGUAGCUAAUACCGCAUACUAUCGGAUGAUCCCAGAUGGGAUUAGCUAGUUGGUGGGGUAACGGCUCACCAAGGCGACGAUCCCUAGCUGGUCUGAGAGGAUGACCAGCGAGACUGGAAAUGAGCAACGGUCCAGACUACUACGGGAGUGAGCAGUGGGGAAUAUUGCACAAUGGGCGAAAGCCUGAUGCAGCCAUGCCGCGUGUAUGAAGAGGGCCUUCGGGUUGUAAAGUACUUUCAGCGGGGAGGCGUUACCCGCAGAAGAAGCCCCGGCUAACUCCGUGCCAGCCGCCGCGGUAAUUC
rnacentral:rRNA from 1 species